rnacentral:rRNA from 1 species
AACGAACGCUGGCGGCAUGCCUAACACAUGCAGGUCGAACGGGAUCCUGGCUUCGGCCAGGUGAGAGUGGCGGACGGGUGAGUAACGCGUGGGAACCUGCCCAUUGGUCUGGGAUAACUGCGGGAAACUGCAGCUAAUACCGGAUGUACCCGAGAGGGGAAAGAUUUAUCGCCGAUGGAGGGGCCCGCGUCAGAUUAGGUAGUUGGUGAGGUAACGGCUCACCAAGCCUACGAUCUGUAGCUGGUCUGAGAGGAUGAUCAGCCACACUGGGACUGAGAUACGGCCCAGACUCCUACGGGAGGCAGCAGUGGGGAAUAUUGGACAAUGGGGGCAACCCUGAUCCAGCAAUGCCGCGUGAGUGAUGAAGGCCUUAGGGUUGUAAAGCUCUCUUACCAGGGACGAUGAUGACGGUACCUGGAGAAUAAGCCCCGGCUAACUUCGUGCCAGCAGCCGCGGUAAU